rnacentral:rRNA from 1 species
AUACGAGGAAAGAACCAACAGGGAUUGCCCCAGUAACGGCGAGUGAAGCGGCAACAGCUCAAAUUUGAAAUCUGGCUCCCUCGGGGCCCGAGUUGUAAUUUGCAGAGGGAGCUUUUGGCGUCGGUCGUGGUCUAAGUUCCUUGGAACAGGACGUCACAGAGGGUGAGAAUCCCGUACGUGGCCGCCGGCCUUCGCCUUGUAAAGCCCCUUCGACGAGUCGAGUUGUUUGGGAAUGCAGCUCUAAAUGGGAGGUAAAUUCCUUCUAAAGCUAAAUACCCGCCAGAGACCGAUAGCGCACAAGUAGAGUGAUCGAAAGAUGAAAAGCACUUUGGAAAGAGAGUGAAAAAGCACGUGAAAUUGUUGAAAGGGAAGCGCUUGCGGCUAGACGUGCCCGCGGUUGAUCAUCCAGGCUCCGGCCUGGUGCACUCCUCCGCGGGCAGGCCAGCAUCAGUUCGGGCGGUCGGAUAAAGGCCUCUGUCACGUACCACCCCUCGGGGUGGCCUUAUAGGGGAGGCGCAACACGGCCAGCCCGGACUGAGGUUCCGCGCAUCUGCUAGGAUGCUGGCGUAAUAGCAGCAAGCGGCCCGUCUUGAAACACGGACCAAGGAGUCUAACAUCUAUGCGAGUGUUUGGGUGUCAAGCCCGAGCGCGCAAUGAAAGUGAACGGAGGUGGGAACCCUCACGGGUGCACCAUCGACCGAUCCUGAUGUCUUCGGAUGGAUUUGAGUAAGAGCAUAGCUGUUGGGACCCGAAAGAUGGUGAACUAUGCCUGAAUAGGGUGAAGCCAGAGGAAACUCUGGUGGAGGCUCGCAGCGGUUCUGACGUGCAAAUCGAUCGUCAAAUUUGGGC